rnacentral:rRNA from 1 species
UAAUACGUAGGUGGCGAGCGUUGUCCGGAAUUACUGGGCGUAAAGGGCGCGCAGGCGGAAGUACAAGUCAGAUGUGAAAACUCCGGGCUUAACUUGGAGACUGCAUUUGAAACUGUAUUUCUUGAGGACAGGAGAGGAAAGCGGAAUUCCUAGUGUAGCGGUGAAAUGCGUAGAUAUUAGGAGGAACACCAGUGGCGAAGGCGGCUUUCUGGACUGUAACUGACGCUGAGGCGCGAAAGCGUGGGGAGCAAACGGG